UACGUAGGGGGCAAGCGUUGUCCGGAUUUACUGGGCGUAGAGCGCGCGUAGGCGGCUCGUCAAGUCCGGCCUGAAAGCCCCCCGGCUCAACUGGGGAGGGUCAUUCGAUACUGAUCGACUCGAAGGCAGGAGAGGGUAGUGGAAUUCCCGGUGUAGUGGUGAAAUGCGUAGAUAUCGGGAGGAACACCAGUGGCGAAGGCGACUACCUGGCCUGUUCUUGACGCUGAGGCGCGAAAGCUAGGGGAGCAAACGGG
rnacentral:rRNA from 1 species